GCAAACUACAGCAACAGCUUCGCUUCCUUAUGCAGUGGCAGGACUUGAGACUAUGGCUGCUGGACCUGCUUACUUUGAAGAGGAAGAUCAGAGAAGGUAGCAUCAAGUUCAAGAGGUCACCAGCAUGAUUAACGAGCAGAGUCAAGGAAGCGAUGGGGGAAAAGGAGGCUUCCUUCAGAAAACGGAUGUCUUGCCCAAAUGAGGAGAACAAAAAGGAACACAAAAAGGAGCACAAAGGACAUGGAAGGAAGGAUUUUGAGGAGCACGUUUCUGAUAUUAUUAAGACCAACAAUAAAAAAUAUAUAUCUUUCAAUGCAUCAGAAGCAGGAAACUCUCUAGGGAGGCUGUAGGACCUCUCUCUCUUUGGCAGGAGGGAGGGUGGGACAGCCUGCUACCCUCCAGAUGUUUGGCACUGGAGCCCAACAACAUCUGGAGAGCUGCCACCCUCAUAAAAAGACACGUUUAAAUCUUUACCCAUUGAUGCAUUUUGCUUUGUGACUUUUUGACCUAAGCAACCUUCUUUCCAGAUGAAGUUCUGACCAAAGCGAUUUAUGAUUGAACCCAAACUGGGCACAUAAAAGAAAAGAAAAUAAUUUUAAAGGAAAGGUGAGAAAAUCGCCUGAAGAACUGAAGGCAGUAAUGUUAAGUAUCAGCUUUCAAGUUUCAGUAGUUUCCACGCCUUGUUAUUUUCUUUUGAAAAUGUACAUUUAAAAAAAGAUUCUAAAUUAGCAAGCUGGGAAAUUUGAGAGGUGGGGGUGGGAAAUUCUACUGAAAUGUAUUUGUCAUUAAUUAAUAUCUCCUUUCUGA